rnacentral:rRNA from 1 species
GAUGAACGCUGGCGGCGUGCUUAACACAUGCAAGUCGAACGAAGCACUUUAUUUGAUUUCCUUCGGGACUGAUUAUUUUGUGACUGAGUGGCGGACGGGUGAGUAACGCGUGGGUAACCUGCCUUGUACAGGGGGAUAACAGUUGGAAACGGCUGCUAAUACCGCAUAAGCGCACAGUAUCGCAUGAUGCAGUGUGAAAAACUCCGGUGGUAUAAGAUGGACCCGCGUUGGAUUAGCUAGUUGGUGAGGUAACGGCCCACCAAGGCGACGAUCCAUAGCCGACCUGAGAGGGUGACCGGCCACAUUGGGACUGAGACACGGCCCAAACUCCUACGGGAGGCAGCAGUGGGGAAUAUUGCACAAUGGGCGAAAGCCUGAUGCAGCGACGCCGCGUGAGCGAAGAAGUAUUUCGGUAUGUAAAGCUCUAUCAGCAGGGAAGAUAAUGACGGUACCUGACUAAGAAGCACCGGCUAAAUACGU